CUGUCAGGACAUAAUGACAGGUUUAACAAAUAUGUAAAAAAUAUAUUUUUACAAAAGUUACCUACUGCAGCUUUAAAUGUAACUCGCUCCGCUUCUGAACAGCUGACAUCAUGGAGCCCUUUUUUUUAGCCCCUCCCCUUUAACUACAUGCCAAACAGAGACAACUGUAACCAAUUCCUGAAGGAAAAAAAGAGUUUUUUCAUGAGGAGUAAAGAGAUAUAUCACAUUAUGUGAUUAAAAAAGUUUGUACUGUAGAUACUUCAUGUUGACUACCAAUGUCUGUUUUGCAGGUAAGUAUCGUACACAUUUAGACUUCAACCCUAAUCAAACACACCUGAACCAGCUAAUUAAGGUCUCACUAGGAAUACUAGAAACUUCCAGGCAGGUGCGUUGAGGAAAACUGGAGCUAAACUCUGCAGAACUGAGUUUGGAGACCCCUGAUUUAUGUCAUUCUCUAUUGGUGAGAUGUGACAUCAGUCUGAAAAGCGUAGAAAAGACAUUAGCAGUCUGUCCAGGUAUCUGUCGUAAAUCUCAAAGUUUGAAUGGUCAAAACGAACAAGUUGUGGGGUCUCUCGUUCGUGGUUGGUCUCUAGGCGAGAUGUUUUCAUGUUUUUCUGUAUCUGUUUCCGCGGUGUUGUGUGAAUGUUAUCUGUUCUGGCUGCAGGAGAAUUUUCCGUGUAACUGGCUCUUUUCUUUUCCGUUCCUGCCAGAAGUUGGACCCAGCAGACCCAAAACCAAUUUCAUCAUCACUGCGGGACUGAGUCACACUGCUAAAGAGAGUGAGAGAUGAUCUGCUUGGCCAAAAAUACAUGAAUACUACACACCAGAUGGGAAUAAAGUGGAAAGUAAAUAGGAAAACAGAACGAAGGACAAAGAUGUACAAGGUUUCUGGCGAAUGGACCAUGACAUUUAAAAUCCCAAGUCUCAAAAACCGCAAAGACGAGUUAUUUCCAGAGAAGAUGCCACGGUCCGGAUCCUCACAGAAUCCCUCUCGCUGGUCCAGGUCUGGAACAUUCCAGAACAUUCUUUUACCUUUUCCAUUUUGAGGUUUGUGUCUCUUUAAAGGAACAGUUCAUUUAAAAUCAGGCCGUUCGUGACUUUCCAAACCUGACCUGGUUUCAAUACUGGAAAGCGAGAAGAGAAAUAUUAUUAAAUUAUCCAUAUGAUUCAUACAGUCUUAUGACAUCAUACGGUAGCUUUGUGUGAGAUAGGGUUAUUUUAGUUAAAG